GGGUAGUGGUAGGGUGUUGUCAGGGGCUAGGUGAGAGUAGGGGGUAGAGGUAGGGUGUGGUCAGGGGCUAGGUGAGAGUAGGGCGUAACGGUAGGGUGUAGUCAGGGGCUAGGUAAUAGCAGGGGUAGCGGUAGGGUGUAGUCAUGGGCUAGGUGAGUAGGGGUUGGUGGUAGGGUGUUGUCAGGGGCUAGGUGAGUAGGGGGUAACGGUAGGGCGUGGUCAGGGGCUAGGUGAGUAGGGGGUAGAAGUAGGGUGUGGUCAGGGGCUAGGUGAGAGCAGGGGGUAGUGGUAGGGUGUGGUCAGGGGCUAGGUGAGAGCAGGGGGUAGUGGUAGGGUGUAGUCAGGGGCUAGGUGAGAGCAGGGGUAGUGGUAGGGUGUGGUCAGGGGCUAGGUGAGAGCAGAGGGUAGUGGUAGGGUAUAGUCAGGGGCUAGGUGAGUAGGGGGUCGUGGCAGGGUGUAAUCAGGGGCUAGGUGAGUAGGGGGUAGUGGUAGGGUGUAGUCAGGGGCUAGGUGAGAGCAGGGGUCAGUGGUAGGGUGUGGUCAAGUGCUAGGUGAGAGCAGGGGGUAGUGGUAGGGUAUAGUCAGGGGC
ensembl:lncRNA